rnacentral:sRNA from 1 species
CCGUACUUAGACGGAUAGUGAUAGUAAUUUUACUAUUUCUAAUUUUAAGUAUGAUGUUGUGUUUGCAUAUUGGUCUAGGAAACUAGGCUAGAGUGAAAAUCUUUGAUUUUUACUCGUUUCACUUCCUGUAUAU